UCCGCCUUACAGAGUCAAGGUCCAGUUUUUUCCUGACCCUGACUGCGGAUCAGGUACGCCACUAGAAGGCAGCAGCUCACACACUGCUGAUAAUACCUCGGUAGGUUGGUGACCAGGAUGCAGCAGCAGACUGAACCAGGACUGAAACCUGCUCCAUCAUCUCAUCUUUGCAUACCUCCAUUUACAAAGCAUCAACAACUCAAAGGAGCUGCCCUCAGAUUCAGACGUCAGCACCAGCCAGUGACAGCAGACAGAUCAUCCUAUAGCUUCACUCUUUGUAGUAACUCCAUAAUUAACUGAUGAAAACAGUACAAAGGUUAAAGUACCACAUGUGCUGUCAGUAAAAGCUGCAGCUGUUUGUAGAUAAAGUUAAAGACAUAUAGUCAAAAGGAUUGAUCACCCAUGUAACUGUGUCACUAUAUACCAGCAUUAACAGGACCUCAGUUUGGUGUUUCAGAAAGGUGCUAAUCUCAGACCUGCUCAACUCCUGUUUUAAACACUGAAUGUAGUCAGCUGCAUGAAGAGGAUGUGAUGUUUUCUCUGACACAAUUGAAUAAAACCUGAUGAAGGUCAAAGGUCGUCACUUGUAUGUUGAACUAAAAACUUCUG